rnacentral:rRNA from 1 species
UACGAAGGUGGCAAGCGUUGUUCGGAAUCACUGGGCAUAAAGCGCGUGUAGGCGGCCUUACAAGUCGGGUGUGAAAUCCCUCAGCUCAACUGAGGAACUGCGCCCGAAACUGUAGGGCUGAGAGGCCUGGAGGGGAGAGCGGAAUUCCUGGUGGAGCGGUGAAAUGCGUAGAUAUCAGGAGGAACGCCGGUGGCGAAAGCGGCUCUCUGGACAGGACCUGACGCUGAUACGCGAAAGCUAGGGGAGCAAACGGG